rnacentral:rRNA from 1 species
GAUGAACGCUGGCGGCGUGCCUAAUACAUGCAAGUCGAGCGAAUGGAUUAAGAGCUUGCUCUUAUGAAGUUAGCGGCGGACGGGUGAGUAACACGUGGGUAACCUGCCCAUGAGACUGGGAUAACUACGGGAAACCGGGGCUAAUACCGGAUAACAUUUUGAACCGCAUGGUUCGAAAUCGAAAGGCGGCUUCGGCUGUCACUUAUGGAUGGACCCGCGACGCAUUAGCUAGUGGGUGAGGUAACGGCUCACCAAGGCAACGAUGCGUAGCCGACCUGAGAGGGUGAACGGCCACACUGGGACUGAGACACGGCCCAGGCUCCUACGGGAGGCAGCAGUAGGGAAUCUUCCGCAAUGGACGAAAGUCUGACGGAGCAACGCCGCGUGAGUGAUGAAGGCUUUCGGGUCGUAAAACUCUGUUGUUAGGGAAGAACAAGUGCUAGUUGAAUAAGCUGGCACCUUGACGGUACCUAACCAGAAAGCCACGGCUAACUACGUGCCAGCAGCCGCCGUAA